rnacentral:rRNA from 1 species
UACGAAGGGAUCUAGCGUUGUUCGGAUUUACUGGGCGUAAAGGGCGCGUAGGCGGUCAAGCAAGUAGGGUGUGAAAGCCCCGGGCUCAACCCGGGAACUGCAUCCUAAACUGCUUGGCUUGAGUGUUGGAGAGGUAAGUAGAAUUCCCAGUGUAGAGGUGAAAUUCGUAGAUAUUGGGAAGAAUACCAGUGGCGAAGGCGACUUACUGGACAACAACUGACGCUGAGGCGCGAAAGCGUGGGGAGCAAACAGG